AUUGAACGCUGGCGGCAGGCCUAACACAUGCAAGUCGAGCGAGUGGCGGACGGGUGAGUAACGCGUAAAGAACUUGCCUCACAGAUAGGGACAACAUUUGGAAACGAAUGCUAAUACCUGAUACUGUGAGAGAGCUUUGCGUCCCAUUAGCUAGUUGGAGAGGUACCGGCUCACCAAGGCGAUGAUGGGUAGCCGGCCUGAGAGGGUGAUCGGCCACAAGGGGACUGAGGCACGGCCCUUGCUCCUUCGGGAGGCAGCAGUGGGGAAUAUUGGACAAUGGACCAAAGUCUGAUCCAGCAAUUCUGGGUGCACGAUGAAGUUUUCGGAAUGUAAAGUGCUUUCAGUUGGGAAGCGGUACCAACAGAAGAAGUGACGGCUAAAUACGUGCCAGCAGCCGCGGUAAUUC
rnacentral:rRNA from 1 species